rnacentral:lncRNA from 1 species
GCUUGAAACGAAGAAGAAUCAAAAGGCAAACUCAAAUGGGGGUUAGCAAAAAUAUUCCUUACUUUUUCUUGAUUCCUUUCUUCACUCAUUUCUUUUGCAAAUUUUUUUUCCUUUUCACUCGAUUUCAUUUCAAGCUCUCUUUCUUUUCCACUUUCGUUUUCUUUUAUUUUUUUUUCAAUUUCUUUUUCAAUAUCUUUCUCCUUUUCACUCACUUUUGUUUUUGAAUUCUCAUCUUAAUCUUUUUCUUUUUCAUUUCGUUCAAUUUCCUUUUCAAUGUUUUUUUCUCGCUCACAUUCUUUUACAACCAAUUUUUUCAAUUUGAUUUGGCCCUCAUGGACUUGUUCCGGUGUGAGCAGCGCUAAGGUGAUUUUCCUUCUUUGAUGCUAGAAGG